AUUCCGUUGGACAAAUUGGUAAAGUCAACACCCUUUCAAGGUGUCGUCUAGGGGUUCAAGUCCCCUACGGAAUG
rnacentral:tRNA from 1 species